rnacentral:rRNA from 1 species
AUUGAACGCUGGCGGCAUGCCUUACACAUGCAAGUCGAACGGUAACAGGUCUUCGGAUGCUGACGAGUGGCGAACGGGUGAGUAAUACAUCGGAACGUGCCUAGUAGUGGGGGAUAACUACUCGAAAGAGUGGCUAAUACCGCAUGAGAUCUACGGAUGAAAGCAGGGGAUCGCAAGACCUUGUGCUACUAGAGCGGCCGAUGGCAGAUUAGGUAGUUGGUGGGAUAAGAGCUUACCAAGCCGACGAUCUGUAGCUGGUCUGAGAGGACGAUCAGACACACUGGGACUGAGACGCGGCCCAGACGCCUACGGGAGGCAGCAGUGGGGAAUGUUGGAACAUGGGCGCAAGCCUGAUCCAGCAAUGCCGCGUGCAGGAUGAAGGCUGUCGGGGUGUAAACUGCUUUUGUACGGAACGAAAAGCCCUGGGUUAAUACCCUGGGGUGAUGACGGUACCGUAAGAAUAAGCACCGGCUAACUACGUGCCAGCAGCCGCGGUAA